CUGUGGCAAACGCUUUAGCCCCCUGGGUCCUUAAUCUGGCAGCCUGUUUUGGGGUGCAUUCUUGAGCCCCCAGUUCUCUGUCCCCUAGCACUAGACUAAGCUUGUUUUUCCUUCUGGGGAGCCCACUCCAACUGCACAGACAUUCUGGGCCUGAUAGGUAGAUGCUGGCCAGAAGGCAGGCCUGUGCCUGGUUUUGCAUCUGUUCCCCUGAGGGCCACCGGCCUCCUGGAGCUUCACUGGGGCUUUGGCUCCCAUCUGCCUCACAGUCAGAGUCAAGGCUGACAGAGGACUC